rnacentral:lncRNA from 1 species
GCCGCGGUUUAGUUUUAUAUAAAAAAUUAUAAUAAAUUUUACAAUUUUAACAGUUUAUAUAUUUAAUAAUAUACAAAACUUUUAAGUUGUCACCAUGCAGUUGUGAAUAUUAGAUCUUGGGCACUGAUUUCUUUUUAAUAACAAAAUGUAGGUUUUGAUCGAGGGCAAUAUCAUUCAUGAUUCUUCUAUUUCCUCUUGUUUAUAUUUACGGCUAACUUACUUAUAUACAAUUUUGAAAGUGCAACAACACUAUCUUCACACUUUAGACAAAACAAGCAAUGAUUUUUAUUUUUUUUUAUUCAGGAAAACAGUUUUUGUUAUAAAAUAUUAUAAUUUUCUUCUCCCAGGCGCUUUCUUUUCUUCCCCAGGCGCUAUUUCUUUUCUCUGGGCGCUUUUGUUUUCCCAGGCGCUAUUUAGUAGGACAAGCAUUCCAACAUACUUCAGAUAAAUAAUUUUACUCAAACAUAUAUUGUGACUUUUAUUACUGUGACUUUUUUAUUUGAGACUUUUUUCCUAUGACUUUUUUCCUAGGGAUUUUGUGACUUUUUAUCCGUUUACCUAUACAGAGAUAUAUCAGGUUUUUUUUUGUAUUCAAUACUCUACUUAAUGUCAUGAGGCAAAAGUAAUACAUCAUGAAGAUUAUUCAAUAUGAUCAUGAGUCCUCUUAAAAUCAGUACCAUUUAGAAAAUAACAUAUACAACAAAUCCAUGUAAUAUUUAUUGUACAGAUCUGAGAAAGUCAACAAAAUUCUCUUUCAGAAAACAGAUAUAAACAUUGUGAAAUGAUGUUAACAAAAUCUAUACAAAACAAUAAGAAUAUACAACAGAUCUGCUAUAUCAUACUGAAUUAACAUUAUAUUAGAUAUGUGAUAAUGGAGAGAUUCUUGUACAAAAUAACAAUACAAGGAUGUUUUAAUAUUAAAAAAAAAAUCAUAUUAUGCUUCUACACCUUAACUAUAGAUAGAGGAAGAUGUGGUGGGAGUACAAAUGAGACAACUCUCCAUCCAAAUAUCAAUUUAUAAAAGUAAACCAUUAUAGGUCAAUGUAUGGCCUUCAACACGGAGCCUUGGCUCACACCAAACAAAAAGCUAUAAAUGGCCCCAAAAUUACUAGUUUAAAACCAUUCAAACGGGAAAGCUAACGGUCUCAAUGAUUUCACAUUUACAAACCGAAACCUAAAUAUCAAUGAAAAAAAUCAAUGUUUCUUCAUGAUUACUUUAAACAAACAUUUUCCUCAUUCCAAAGAAAGUAACUUUUUUUUAUUAUUUAAAUUUGUUUUAUUGUCAUUGGUAUUUUUUCACUCUGAAUUAUUUUUCUUCGUUGUAGGAAUAUUAAUAUACAUCCUUUUUUUUUUAACAAGAAUAUAUUUGCUGUGGAAUAUGACCAUAGAGUAACAUAACAAUAAUAGUGUAACCUGUCUUAUCUGACACCUUACUAUUCCAAACAUCCUGCUUUAACUAACACAUUUGCUUGAUCCCAAAAUAUGCAUAUUCUUGCAGAAAAAACCUGAGUAUUCUGACACUCUGCUUAAUCCGACAUUUUUUUUGUGAUUCCCCAGUGUGUUAGAUUACACAGGUUACACUGUACAUAUAUUUUGAAGUACUACUUUUUGUCAAAUUUCUUUUUAUUGAUAUUAGACACAAAAUUGGUGGUGUAAAAGAGAUCACAAUUUCACAACCCUUGACAAUCAUCGAACCAAAGUUAUAUGAAGUUUAUUCUGUUCUUCACAAAUGAUCAAAUCUUUAUAUAAAUAUGGAAAAUAUUGAGCUAGUAUUUGAAAAAAAAAAAAAAAAUCAAUAUAAUAAUUUCUCUGCCUUUACUUAUUAACAGUAGAAAACAUAUAUUCAAACCUACUAUAGAGGUCCACACUAUUUAGAAAAAACAAGGAUUCCGAGGUCAGCCUCAACGUUUCCCACAGUAGUAAUACAUAUUAAUUUGAACCUAAAUGCACUGGUCACCUCUCUUUUAAGGGCAUAUAUCCAACAGUUUCAGGGGAGGUAAUAACAAACUUAACCGUUGUAUAUUGUUUCCCGUAAUUUCACGGUGUUUCAACGACGUCUAAAUGGCCAUCUGGAAAGGGCGGUUUCUUUCCUCAAAGGAAAGAGUACGACGGGAAUCGGCAAAAAACUCAUACAGUAUAUAAACAGAACUAGAACUCAAAACUUAAAAGAUAUCUUUGUCCUCUUGGUUUGUUAUAAUUGAUCAUUACUAGACCAUACUCACUGAAGUUUCCAUUUUAUUAAAAUUAUCUUCAAUACAGUAGAAAACAACGAGAGCAAAUGCGUAAUGAUUUAUUAUUGCAUUAGAAUGCAACACAAAUUGUUAUUAGUUCUUUACCAAACUUUUCCCAGAUUUUGUCAUUCAGGAUAGAAAACUCAAAGUUUGAUUUUACUUCAGAAAGAUGAAAAAAAAAAUCGUUUCUUGAGAAAAAUAAAAUACAGCAUAAACAAACAUUUAUCAUGCAUCUAGCUUUGCGUUGAAGUGCUAAGAUAUACAGUGGCUCUUUAAAUGAAUACAACCUUUAACCGGUAAACAAUGUAAAUCAAAAGAUGACACAGUAAUAAAAAAAUAUUGAAAUAGGAAAACAUAGUAAUAUAUAUACACUGAAAAGUAGAAAAUAUCUGACGAUGUUGGUGUUUACUUAUGUAUGAGGAAACAAAUAUAAUUUAACAAAAAAAAAUGGUGUAGGUUUUGACUAAUUAGACACGCCCUCUUAAGUCAGCAGGUCCAUAACAGGAUAGGAAAUAAAAAAAAAAAAGCCAUCGAAAUCAAAACACCAUAAUUCAAAAUUGGGGGAGGGGGCAGUAAUAGCUUAACUUGAGAUUUUGAUCAUUAUUCAACUUUAUCUACUUUAUCUAGUAAGGCAUACGUUUUACCGCUAGCAAACUCUCUAUAUCUUGAUAAUGUAUCAAUCAUUUACUUCAGAUCCACUUUCGCAUCGUCGUAAAUAUGCGUGAUAUAUUUGACACUGGAGCACGGGAGCAAUCAAUUCAUCAGUUUCAUAUAGUGAUGCAUAAUCAUUAGUUCUCAACUGAUAAUUGUCUCAAACAGUUUUUAAGUUUUAGUAUUUUAUUUUUAUUUCAUAUUUUAUUUCUGAACGAAAAUUUUCGAAUUUCUUUCCGCAUCUUUCUCUUUGAAUUCAUUUUUUUGAAUAAUCAAUAAUAAUAUAGUAGUCUACAUCAGUGGUUACAUUGUAUGCAGGCAAACUAUGUAGAGGGCAGUAGAACAGAAAACAAUCUCCAUUGUGUAUAUAUGCAAUAACUCAUAUAUUGAAGCGAAAAACCACGGCAGUAAGGCUCGUUUAGGUGGAAAAGUUUUAUAUACUUAUAUAUUGUAAAUAUGCCGUCAUAAAAGCAAAAACACACGAAAAAAAUGGCCACAAUUUAUAAUAACAUUCAACUUUUUUUGGCCGUUUUGUUUAUUCUUAAGUUAAUGUCUUACUGAUCUGUUUUGUCAAUCAAAGUUCUUUUUCAUCUACAACUGCAAAAGGCGCAACAGAUGUGUUAAAAUUAGCCAUGCGACUUAUUUGAAGAUUCAUGUGACCUUUGUUGUUGUUUAGAGAUUUUAUUCAAGUUUGUAUAUCCCUUCAACCAUUUAUUUAGAUGGUAUUUUAACGUAAAGAUAGCGCGAAACGCUCCAUACUCUAUGCAUCGGAUAUACAACAUUUUAUUUGGACUAAACGAGGCUGCAAAUUUAUACAUCCGAGCAGCUAAACGGUGGCACCCAAUUUUAGUAAAGAUAUACACGUAUAAUUCAAAACCCUUAGAGUCAACAUACAGAUUUUUGUUAUAGCUAGAAGCUUGUAAAAAAAAAACCCAAAACUGCAAUAUGAAUAUAUAAUACGGAGUUGGUGAGAUUUUAGACAAGUGUUUGGUUGCAAAAUUUCACAUGCUCUUUCUUGAUUUCGAUAAGUGAAAUUAUAGACAGUGUAAUAUAAAUCAGUGUAAGAAAAACACUUCUUUGUAAAGUAACGAUAAAAUAAAUAAUGAUUAUGGAUGACGGAUGUCAAGUGCCAUAUUAAAUGAAUAAUCAGAACAAAAACAUCAAAUGUAAAUAUAAUAUGAAAAUUAACCCUGCUUUGUACUAUAGACCGACACAAAGAAACGGAUUUCUAAUGUGUAAUGCGUUUGUUUUUAAAGAGGGAUGAAAUAUACCAGACGGCAGGGAACUAUUUUAAUAAUUUGUAAUUCCAUGGUUUGUAUGUUUCACAACCUUGUUUCACACCCGUGUUUCACAAUCUUGACGAACACAAUAGUAAAGUUAACUGAAUUAUUAUAUCGUACAGAUACUGGUCCAUUAUAACAAUAACGUUUUUGGCUUUAUUUGAGUAAGAAUUUAAAAUUCUUUAAAUGGUAAAGUUAGAUUUUUCUAACCAUCUUGAACUAUUUUGCUUCAAUUUGAGCCCCUUUAUAUAAGUAUACGUUGAUUAAAAUUAUUUUUCAAUUUUUUUUAAAGAAAAAACGUUUUGUUUCUUUAAAAUUGCAAAAAUGUUCAAUUAUUAGCAGCAAAAACGAAUACGACUACAAUAUCUAUUUGGGCAAAAUUUGAUUCUCUGUCAACUGAAGAAUGAAAUAUCUUUAAGGGAAAAAGGGAAAAAAUUCUCACCGUCAAAAAUAAACUGUUGGAUAUGCCCUUAAGAACAGUUUUCUCUAUUCACAACGGUUUCACUGUAUAUAGUUAACCUGUUGAUGACAAAGUAGCUCAAAAAACAUUGGAGGAAACUGUUAAAUGUAAAACUAGUUCCAUAUGGACAAAAAGCUAGAUAUAAUACUAUACAGUUAUGCCUAAACUCAACAAAGAUCGAUUUUUUUUUUUAAAUUACUACAUCAUUAGCAUUAGUGUGUGACAGAAAAUUAUAUAUUUACAUAUGCAUGUUAUACUGAAAUAAUAGGAAAGAAAUAAGUUUUAAACAAUUUAUCAUGCACUACUACAUAAAAUAAAAUAAAAAUAAUGUAUUUCUCCGUGAUGAAGAAAAUAUCAGUUUCUAUUAAUGACACAGCAACCCAACAAAGCAUAAACUUUUGACACAGAGAUAUGUCUUACCUGAAUGUAUUAUUUGAUAUCAUAAUGCAAAUAAUGAAAGUAAAAUGACAAACCUACAACAUGAUUUUUACUAUUCAGAAUUUUACAAGAAAUCAUGACUGAGGGUCCGGACCAUAUAGUUUAAAUGGCAAUAAGAUAUGCAAAUGCUAAUACAACUGAAUAUCAAACAUUAAUAUCAUUUAUCAUUAGAUGUUCAUCUUAAAUUGACCUUAUGACAAACUUUUGAAAAAGUUUCAGUUAAAAGACCAAGCUUGAGGGGGUGUGGUUGAAUAAUCUAUGUAUCUAUGUGAUGUGCAAAUUCUUUUAAAACUGCAUACCAAUUAUCAUUGACAACUAGGGGACCCCUUUAACUAACCUAAUAAUAAACUUAUACAUUGUUUAAGCAAGAAACAGCUUUUCUAAGUCCUUUUGGAUGAGAGAUGAAAAAAUACAGUGUACAAUUUGGAAAUUAGUAUGGCGUUCAUUAUCACUGAACUAGUAUAUAUUUGUUUAGGGGCCAGUUGAAGGACGCCUCCGGGUGCGGGAAUUUCUCGUUACAUUGAAGACCUGUUGGUGACCUUCUGCUGUUGUUUUUUUUCUAUGGGCGGGUUGUUGUCUCUUUGGCACAUUCCCCAUUUCCAUUCUCAAUUUUAAGUCAUAUAGGCUUGAGAAAAAAUCACUUUCACUUUACAGUCACUUAAUAUCAAAUGGCAAAAAUAAAACAACCAGAAUAUAUUAACCAACCCGUCUAGAAAUUGACAUUAUAAAUAAAAUUAUGUCUAUAAAAUGAGGUAUGUUUAGAAAAUAGACUGCAAAAGUAAAACUGUUAUAUCUAUUGCAUAUAUUUUAUACAAAGCAAGCAUUUUCUGCUCUCGAACAUAAUCAAAUGCUGUGGAUUCAUUAUAAUUCAUUGGAUACCAAUCGUCAUGGGUUUAAUGGGUAUGUGAUGAACCUGAAUAUAUCGUUUAAGGAAGUACAAAUUUUCUUUUUGCAUAAUGCAAAACCUCAAAAUCAAAUUUUUUUUUUUAACACAAUUCAGAAAAAUAAAUAAAUAAAUCCACAGUAUUCAAAUGCAGUUUACUAGGUAGCAAAGCAAUGUUAGAAUAAAUUGAUGAAUAAUGAGCAAGUAUAACAUGUUGAAGGACAACUUUUGAUUUCAUUAAAUAUUUGUUUAAGCUUUCUGCAUUGCAUGAAUUUUUGAUAAUAAAAAUAACUUUUUUGAUAUUUUGAAAGCUAUUUGUUAUAAACAUCUUCAAAAAGACAAGGAGCGUGUGUGCUUGUUUAACAUUUUCAAGUAAUAAUGUCAGUGCCUAACACAUAUUUUUUUUGUAACAAUUCUCAAGGUUAAUUUAUUGUGGGAUUGUUAUGAAAUUUAGAGGUUUAUAUCAGCAAUGCCGGAGAUUAUUUCAAAAAUCAAAAAUCCAACAUCAGUGCCAAUCAAUUACUAGUACAGGAGUUAUGUCACUUACAAAUGUUAAUUCUAUGGAAAACUGCAUUGUCAGCACAUUUACAACAACAUUUCUUGAAGGAUUGUUAUUAAAGAAAAUUAACAACAUAAGGGCAGAGGCCCAGCAAUGAGUAAUAUGUAAAAGUUUAUUGGAGUUAAAUUUGAAUAAUACAUGAUUAAAUUUAACAAAGGAUAUCACAUAAAAGAUGAACUGAAGCAGUAUAUGUAUACAUGUAUUUAUAUGUCUCUGACUGAAGUUAAUCAUUGGAUAUGUUUACAUGAAAUAACUUGUACACUAGCUUCAACUUUUGAAAAAUCAUUAUUAAAGAGAAAUUAAUAUAUUAGAUGUUGUUUUUAACAAAAACUUACAUCUCCUCUACCAACUCCUCAAAAUAAAGUUCACAACAAGUCUGUUACAUAUAUUAUUUGAUCUCUGUGUACUACAUACAUUAUACAAGUUAUUUUCUGCAUUAUUAAUGUUGAUAAAACUAUUCAAUUUAAAUCCACUCCAAACAUGAGUGAAAAACAAACUUUAAUUACAUAAUAUGGUCCCCAAAUAUUAACAAACGGAUGGAAUGUUUCUA